AUUGAACGCUGGCGGCAUGCUUUACACAUGCAAGUCGAACGGCAGCGCGGGCUUCGGCCUGGCGGCGAGUGGCGAACGGGUGAGUAAUGCAUCGGAACGUGCCCAGUAGUGGGGGAUAGCCCGGCGAAAGCCGGAUUAAUACCGCAUACGACCUGAGGGUGAAAGCGGGGGACCGAAAGGCCUCGCGCUAUUGGAGCGGCCGAUGUCGGAUUAGCUAGUUGGUGGGGUAAAGGCUUACCAAGGCGACGAUCCGUAGCUGGUCUGAGAGGACGAGCAGCCACACUGGGACUGAGACACGGCCCAGACUCCUACGAGAGGCAGCAGUGGGGAAUUUUGGACAAUGGGGGCAACCCUGAUCCAGCCAUGCCGCGUGCGGGAAGAAGGCCUUCGGGUUGUAAACCGCUUUUGUUCGGGAAGAAAUCCUCUGGGCUAAUACCCCGGGGGGAUGACGGUACCGGAAGAAUAAGCACCGGCUAACUACGUG
rnacentral:rRNA from 1 species